rnacentral:rRNA from 1 species
UACAGAGGGGGCGAGCGUUGUUCGGAAUUACUGGGCGUAAAGGGCGCGUAGGCGGCCAACUAAGUCAGACGUGAAAGCCCUUGGCUCAACUGAGGAAGUGCAUCCGAAACUGGCAGGCUAGAGUACUAAAGAGGAUCGCGGAAUUCCCGGUGUAGAGGUGAAAUUCGUAGAUAUCGGGAGGAACACCGGUGGCGAAGGCGGCGAUCUGGGUAGAUACUGACGCUGAGGUGCGAAAGCGUGGGGAGCAAACAGG